GAUGAACGCUAGCUACAGGCUUAACACAUGCAAGUCGAGGGGAAACGACAUCGAAAGCUUGCUUUUGUAUGGGCGUCGACCGGCGCACGGGUGAGUAACGCGUAUCCAACCUGCCCACCACUUGGGGAUAACCUUGCGAAAGUAAGACUAAUACCCGAUACGCUUCAUAGAUGGCAUCUGAAUGGGAUUAAAGAUUUAUCGGUGAUGGAUGGGGAUGCGUCUGAUUAGCUUGUUGGCGGGGUAACGGCCCACCAAGGCAACGAUCAGUAGGGGUUCUGAGAGGAAGGUCCCCCCACAUUGGAACUGAGACACGGUCCAAACUCCUACGGGAGGCAGCAGUGAGGAAUAUUGGUCAAUGGGCAGAGCCUGAACCAGCCAAGUAGCGUGCAGGAUGACGGCCCUAUGGGUUGUAAACUGCUUUUAUAAGGGAAUAAAGUGGGUCACGUGUGACUUUUUGCAUGUACCUUAUGAAUAAGGACCGGCUAAUUCCGUG
rnacentral:rRNA from 1 species